GAACAGGAGAGGGCGACCUCCCUCAUCCUCAAAACCCUAAAAUUCACUAAACCCACAAAUUGAAGGCUCAAUCCAAGUUGAAAUCAAAAUCUGAACAUGGAAUCGUGAUCACCUCGUCAAAAGGAGUCAUAAGGUAUGUGAAUUUCAUGAGAAAUCUCUAUUUGACGCUAAACGAGCUAGGUGGAAGCUUGAGGACGAAGCGGGUCAAACAAAUCAAUAAGGAAAAGUAACGCAUAGUUUGGAUGCGAGGUAAGUAAAGCUUACACCUUUAUCGUAGGAUAUGUAUUUAUUUAUAGAUUAUAAAUACGACCAGGUUAUAUUCAAAUUAUGAUUUUGACACGAAAAGAUACGGGUCGGAACGUAUCAAA
rnacentral:lncRNA from 1 species